UACGUAGGGUGCGAGCGUUAAUCGGAAUUACUGGGCGUAAAGCGUGCGUAGGCGGUUCGCUGUGUCCGAUGUGAAAGCCCCCGGGCUUAACCUGGGAAUGGCAUUGGAAACUGGCGGGCUUGAGUGCGGCAGAGGGGGGUGGAAUUCCGCGUGUAGCAGUGAAAUGCGUAGAGAUGCGGAGGAACACCGAUGGCGAAGGCAGCCCCCUGGGUCGACACUGACGCCUCAGGCACGAAAGCGUGGGGAGCAAACAGG
rnacentral:rRNA from 1 species